rnacentral:misc_RNA from 1 species
AAUUCUCAACCGUGCGUUCUCGAUUUAUUUCGAGAGGACAUGGCUUGGAGUUUGGGGGAUUUGCUGGCAGCUUCGUCGGCUCUCCUGAAAUGCAUUAGCAAAGGGUCAGCUAGUGUUCGGACGGUGCACGGCCUUUGACGUGAUAAUGAUUGUCACGGCCGGAACUGUCCUCGUUCAUCUCUGAGGACGACCCUUUUCAGUUACUAGUUGAUUGCGAGGCUCGCUCGCCGACGAACACGAAAAGGGGGCAAGGUUCACAGAGUGUGUGCGUUCGACGCUCACGUUCCUCUUUGGAA